rnacentral:tRNA from 1 species
GCCUGGGUGGCUCAGUCAGGUAAGUGUCUGACUUUGGCUCAGGUUGUGAUUUCAGGGUCCUGGGAUCAAAUCCCACCCCAGGCU